rnacentral:rRNA from 1 species
GCAGUCGCCGCGGGAAUACGUAGGGUGCAAGCGUUGUCCGGAAUUAUUGGGCGUAAAGAGCUCGUAGGCGGUUUGUCGCGUCUGCUGUGAAAUCCCGAGGCUCAACCUCGGGCUUGCAGUGGGUACGGGCAGACUAGAGUGCGGUAGGGGAGAUUGGAAUUCCUGGUGUAGCGGUGGAAUGCGCAGAUAUCAGGAGGAACACCGAUGGCGAAGGCAGAUCUCUGGGCCGUAACUGACGCUGAGGAGCGAAAGCGUGGGGAGCGAACAGGAUUAGAUACCCGGGUAGUCCCUGUCUCUUAUAC